UGGGUGUGACCAUAGGGCCCUAAUCCCUACUAGAGAAUUUUUGAUUCGGGGAGUAAUUUUAGAGAGGGACUCCCCUCUCCACCAUAUAGACAGACCUAUGAUCAAGCCCAAUGGAUAAGUACGUCACCCCAGCAUCAUCUUAGGUCAGAGGAUCAGAAACCUCUUUUAGACCCUGCGCCCAUGCCAGACCAGGCCAUCAGGAUCAGCUCCUUCAUGAUCAAACACAUCCUAACAUUUAAUCGAAGCCACAGCAUCUGCUGUGACUCAAACCCGAGCCACU
rnacentral:lncRNA from 1 species